rnacentral:sRNA from 1 species
GACUCAAGGCAGGGAUCUGGAGGCAGGGACUGGAGCAGAAGCUAUGGAGGAAGGCUGCUUAUGGAGGAAAGGUUCAGCUACCUUUCUUAUACAAUAAAGACAUCCUGCCCAGUGGGCUGGGUUCCCUCCACAUUGGUCAUUAAUCAAGAAAAUCCCCACAGACACGCUGGCAGGCCAAUCUGAUGGAGAACCUUUCUCAGACAGCGUCUUUCUUCCCAGACAACCCUUGCAUAUAUCAAGUUGACAAGAACACUGACCAGAACAGGUUUGGUUUGGCUGAUUUUGCUUCCGUUCUUCUGUCAAGCCUGAGCCAGCCUUCUACCCAAAGUGAACUCUGGGAAUUCUGGGGGAACAGCCCUACCUACCAUGGAUGGCUUUAGGGUGGGCCUGCCUCAUGUCUACCUCACCACUAAUUCCCAGCAGAUUAAUUUAUAGGGAAGUAAGGUGAAGUACUUGGGGCCUUCUUAUGAUUGGAGUUCAUAUUUAGGAACAGAACUGACAAUUCCAUGGCUAAAUAUAUUUAGAAAACAUACAAGACUUUUCCCCUGGGGCUUUACCAUUUUACAUUUUCUCCAGCCAUAUGUAGGGUUUAAUUUUUCCGAAUCAUACAUAGGAACAUGUUAGCCCCUCCCUCCUCUUAGUCAUGAUCAUGUUAAUGGAUGUGAAGUGGUAUCUCAUUGUGUUUUUUCAAUUAUUACAUUUGCUUAUUUAUGUAUUUACUUGUUUGUUCAGUGUGUUUGGGUGUGCUGGUCAGAGCACAACUUGCCAGACUCGGUCCUCUCCUCCACCUUGUGGUUUCUGAGGUCAGGUCUGAGGUGGCCAGACUUUGUCGCAAACACCUCAUACCCUCUCACUGGCCCUUCCUUGGGAUAGAUACUACUAUCUUGCAGUUUUCUAACUACUAAUGGCGUUGAGCAUCUUCUCGUGAGCUGGCUGGUUAUUCAAUCUCUUUGAGGAAAAAAUACCAACUCAAGUCUUUUGCUGGGUUUUAAGGUGAGCUGUUCAUCUCUUGUGUUGUUUUCACUGUGGAAUUUAGGUCAAUUGUUAGCCAAUGAGGUCAGGAGUGAGUCAAAGGGACAUUGAGGUGUCUGUGGGGGAGGGCGGGGUGGCAGAUUUAGAGUCCAGUAAAAUUAUAUGCAGGAAAUAAAUAAAAUUCCUUUAUUUUGUGUUUAAAGUUCUUUGUCCUCCCUUCAGGUUUUUUAUUUUGUUUUGUUUACUGCUUCUGGGGGAUGAGAAGAUUAAUUUUAAUCUGAUAUAUGCUUUAUAACUCAGAUCCUGAGUCAUCUGCCAGCCAUGCUUGGUCUUUCUAAGAAACCCGAAAGCAACACAAAGUCUAAGCAUCUACGCUUCCUCCUCCUGGCCUCUUCCAUACUUCCCUGGGAGUAGGUGAUGGUGGUGGCAGUGUGGCUUUGCAGCCACAGAGCCCAGGAAACAUCUUACCACCCUUGGCAUGGUAACUUGUGGUGACUUCUGACUCCUCCGACCUCCUGUGUCAUGUCCUCAUCUGCUGGCUAAACCUUGCCAGGACAGAGACAGUCACCAAAGGCCAACUCCAGGUGACUUGGUUUUUUGGCAGAGGUCUGGCUGAGACUUCCGCCAGAUUCUUCUCAUGGAGAAUGCACCUGACUGAGCUCAGUUAUGCCGUGGGCUCCUCUCUUGAGUCUCCUCACCAUGGGUAAACUCGAGCAAUCUUGGGAACACACAAGCAUUAAGACCUUCUUUAGAGCCAGUCUGCUUGGGUGAGCUACCAUCCCAUGUCAGGCAACUGCCGCAUCCUCCCAGAACCCAAGGAUAGUAUUGCCAGUGACUCAGAGGAAGACAAUUCAGGAAGUGGUCACUAAGCCAGUCUUGGGAACACACACUGGGUCUCUUUCACCUCUACAGCAUGAGAUACCAUGGUGAGGACAGGUGGUCCUCUGCAGUCAGGGCCUCGAGCUGACCCUGAAGGAUGAAGGCCUGGAGAAGUUCAAGACACACCUGAGUGGCUAUUUCUUGUGUAUCUAAGAGAGGACAUUAACUGGACAUCUGCUACAGUUUGACUAUGCCCCUCCCCAGAAGCACAUGCUGAAAACGAUGCCCAGCAUGACAGUGGAAGGAGCUGGACCUCAUGGGGAGUGUGUGGGCCAUGAGGAUUCCACACCCCUAAACAGAGGUCCGGGAGCUCAGUUCAUCUCUUGCUUCAUGAUGUUCCUCUUGCUAUGUGCCUGCUGCCCAGUAAGGUGUAAUGAGAAGCUCCCUAGAUCUUUGUUCCCCUCGGCCUUAGACGUCUCAGCCUUUUAGAACUGUGAGCCAACGGACUCCCACCUAUCAUAAACCACCUGGCCUAUGGUAUCCAUUCUAACCUCAUCAGAAGGAGCAGGACGCUAUCCGAAGCACCAUUCACCAUGGGCAUCUCCAGCUCACUGCUCACAGUGCGACAGACGCACAGAGACUACAUUUAAAGCUCCUCCCUGCCAGCCCUCCAGGAGCAGAAGGAAGACGGCAGCUUCCCCAUCACACAUUGACAUCCCUGGGGAAAGCAGCCUUGUUAUCCUACCUGAACCAACAGGAGACAAAGCCAGCGGAGAGGCUUGCCCAUUGGGAUCUCAGUCAUGUGGAAGAUGCUGAGCGAGCCUGGCAGAGCCACUGAAACCUCCAUAAACAAUAAAAAGAUGCCCAGGGCCUUCAAGCCUGUGUGGGGUAGGACCACUCAUGGAAAAGUCAGACACUGGCCUCCUCCACUGGCCAUAAUGAGGACCAGGUGACGAUGGAUGGAUGCGAUCACACUGGGUUCGUUGAGUCUGAGAAUUCUGCUGAGCCUGGAAUGAACCCAUCUACAAACAAGCGAGUCUGUCUGUGGGGGAGCUGGAAGGAAUGGGGUGUGGAGAAGGCUGUGGGGUAGUGUGUGCCAUCGAUUACUUGUGGCUUGCAGAGAGCCGAGGAAGCCUGGACGUACAGCUUCUGAGCAUCUGGAGAAGUCUUUGGACAGCAUCUGAGGUCCUCUGGAUGAAUUGAGGUCAUUCAAACCAGCCAAGCCAGGCCAGAUGGAGGCUGGAGUGUGCAGUGUGCAAAUGGCUCGUGGCUCGUCUCAGCUAUCCUGCUUCUUGCCUGAGUUCUUGGUGGUCCGUUCCUUCCAUCCACCUCACACCGGCUUAGGGUCUAUCCUCCCCUUCUAGAUACACUGCAGAAAAGGAUCCAACCCAACUCUUCAUUCGUGGCUGCAGAGAUGGUUCAGCGGGUCAGAUACUUGCCACAAAAGGCUGGGGACCGGAGCUUGAGACCCAGAUCCCAUAUAAAACUCAGAACAUGAUAGUGUGUGCUCCUCAUCUAGUACUAGGGAGACUGUUGGAUUCCGAGGGCUCUCCAGGCAGCCAGCCUCACCUAAAGACUGAGCUCCACAUUCCAGUGAUAGGCUUUGGCUGAAAAAUCAGGUGGGCUGAGUUCCUGAGGAACAACACGCUAGGAUGUCCCUCCAGUUCCCACCCUUAUGCACAUGCAUGCCCAUGUGUACACGUGAACCCACAUGUACCACAUACACACACAAACACACAGAAACACACACACACACACACACACACACAUACAACACACAGAGUUCAUAUUUGCAUUUUAAUAGGAGGGGAUGGCUUCCGAUAGAGUUCUUGCUAUGGAAAUGGAAUAAUGAGGGAAACAGGAAUCACAGUGCUAUGUGCGAACUGCUUAAAGGAAGCAUUUGGAGGUGGGUCUUGUUUGACCUGCUCUGCCUCUGUCUCUUCCUAGGGCUUUGGCCUCCAUGUGUUGGUCUCAGAUUCCCAGUUUGUAUUAGGUGAAAUACAGCUAAGAUAGUCGUGACACACCUUCAGUCUUGACUAGUAUGGAGUGCAGGUCAAUGAGAAAGCUUCGGUCCCAAGAACAGGGACCUGUUGGGCCCUGGGGACAACAUGCUCAUCACAAGCUAUUGAUCUUAGCUUGCCAUUGGAGGCAUGGUAGAAAUAAAUUGAUAACUUGAUGGUUCACAGCUUCCCCUGUGCCCUUCAGGGGACCACCGGGAAAACAGACUACCCUGCCCAAGCUCCCUGAGUCCCAAAGAGAGCUCUGAUGCCUUCCGAGGUCCCCUGUUGUCAUAACAGAAGUACAGUCUACAGCACCUCUCUUCCAACAUCACCUAGAACUUGUACCAAAAAGGUGCUUCAUAAACCCCAUGGACCAAUCUUGGAAGUUUAGGCCACAAAUGUAUACUCCUUAUUUUGCAUUUAAAAAUAAUGCAAAAAUAAUAUUAAAAUAAUAGUCAUCGGUUUUGUGGAUUUGAGGUUUCAUCCAUGUGAGAUAUAUUUGAGUGUCCAGGAGUAAACUUUUUAAAAAGUCACUUUUUAUAGCAAAUGAAGACUUUUCAAAUAUCACCUAACAAAAGGCCUCUUUGAAGUUGGGUGGGCAGAACACAGCCACAAUGGGUACCCUGCUUACUUGCUACAAAUGGCUUAUUUUGCUACAAAAUGAAUGGAGAAGAGAAGACUUCAGAGAUCUCAGCCUCAGAAAGAAUUCAAGGAACCUCAGAGCCAUCCCACAGGCCCCACCUCAACUAUGCACUGUGGAAAGAUGUUGUGCUUGGCGUAGUUCCCCAUUGGCUCCGGCUUGGCCCUGGUGUGGGCUGGACGGUGACUUGGGCUCUCGGUGUGCUCCUGUUUUAGAUCUUAGAGUAAAGGAGACCAGUUCAUGAGUAUUCAAGAGUUCAGGCAACAGAGGAAGGGAAUAUAGGAAGGGAGGAAAAGAUAGGUUUUCUCUAUUCAUAACUUUUUAACCCCCAUAACCUCCCCACUCCUUUGUACACACAUAAACACAUACCUGCAUAUGCAUACAUACAUGCACGCACAUACAUACACACAUGCCAUACAUACUCACUCAUUUGUAUAUACAUAAACACACAUGUGCUAUAAGCAAACACAUUCACUUGUACACACAUAAACACACAUACAUACACAUACAUAACACACACACACACACACAUACACACACACACACACACAUACAUCAAGGUCUGGAUUGCAAAAUGUGUCUUCCCUGAUUCUGAGAGGGGGUCUCACUAGGUUCAGUGUCCCAUCCCCACUCCUGUUUUCCACCUUGCUCUUAGGAACUUAACUGCGCUUUCCUCAUCUCUCUGUGUCAACGCCUUAAUUCCUGAUCCAUUGGAAGGUGGCUGCAGUAGAGACAGGGCCUACGGAGAGGUGGUUCUUGUCAGUGAGAUAGUUAGGUAGGCUCUGAUGCAGUGAGAAUGGCGGCUCUGUAUGAGGAACAGUGGCUACUGCAUCAGUCAGGGUCCUCCACAGAAGCAGAGCCACAGCACGCACAGGCAAUGCAGGGGGAGUCAUUGGGUUGCUUCACACAGUGCAGCCCUGAAAUGGCUGUGCACUGGAGGCUGAGCCCCCUGGUGGCUGUUAAUUAACCAACUUGGAUGUCUCAACAGUCUUCUGCACCUUGUGCUGAAGGCCUAGAAGGUUCCUGAAGAGCUGCUCAUCUUCAGUCUUCCUUGGAAAGAUCUCUCUGGGCCACCACCAUGUGGUGCUGUGUGCUCUGUGGGAGGAUUUUCCCCUUCAGUUUAUCUUUCUAAGAAAUCCCUCACAGUCCCUGCCCAGGUGAGUAUUUCUUAUUUAGUCAUUGAUUCAGUCAAGAUUAACCAGCAUGGCUACUUAGAGAGACAGGCAGGAGG